rnacentral:rRNA from 1 species
GACGAACGCUGGCGGCGUGCUUAACACAUGCAAGUCGAACGGAAAGGCCCUGCUUUUGUGGGGUGCUCGAGUGGCGAACGGGUGAGUAACACGUGAGUAACCUGCCCUUGACUUUGGGAUAACUUCAGGAAACUGGGGCUAAUACCGGAUAGGAGCUCCUGCUGCAUGGUGGGGGUUGGAAAGUUUCGGCGGUUGGGGAUGGACUCGCGGCUUAUCAGCUUGUUGGUGGGGUAGUGGCUUACCAAGGCUUUGACGGGUAGCCGGCCUGAGAGGGUGACCGGCCACAUGGGGACUGAGAUACGGCCCAGACUCCUACGGGAGGCAGCAGUGGGGAAUAUUGCACAAUGGGCGGAAGCCUGAUGCAGCAACGCCGCGUGCGGGAUGACGGCCUUCGGGUGGGAAACCGCUUUCGCCUGUGACGAAGCGUGAGUGACGGUAAUGGGUAAAGAAGCACCGGCUAACUACGU